ensembl:miRNA
AACUCCAGUCCUCGAGGGCAUGGAAAAGUUGCAUGACACCGGCCUUCGAGGAAUGGAGUUU